rnacentral:lncRNA from 1 species
UGGAAGGUGGGGACGCGCAAGAGGCGGACGGGCGAGGGAUUCCCUCUUCUCCCCUCUUCUUCGCACUGGGUGACCUGGAGGAUGCCGUGGAAGAUGGAUACGGGGGAGACGCGGUGAGGACGCGGUGAAGGCUGCAGUGGCGGGAUCGCUGGCAUGCGGUGGUGUUCUUUCCUUCUUUGGGUGUCGGCUUGGGAGCGGGAUCGACGGGGACGCGGGCUGGUGAAUUCCUUCUCCCCUUCUUUCGCACGGGAUCACGGAUGAGAGGCGCGCUUGGAUCGGGAGCAAGGGAAGGGCGGUGAUGCGGCUUGGAUUUUCCUUUCCCUCGUAAGAUGGGAGCUGGGAGUCCAAUUAGUCAUAUAGAUAAAAAAAUAGUAUGAUAUGAAAUUUGGCUUGUAGAUGGGUCAUCUAUCCUGGCUGGAGGUCAAGUGCAAUUCUUUCAAGUCAUGGGUCACCCAGC